GCUGAACUUAAGCAUAUCAAUAAGCGGAGGAAAAGAAACUAACAAGGAUUCCCCUAGUAACGGCGAGUGAAGCGGGAAGAGCUCAAAUUUGAAAUCUGGCGGCCUUUGGUCGUCCGAGUUGUAGUCUGGAGAAGCGUCUUCCGCGCCGGACCGUGUACAAGUCCCUUGGAACGGGGCGUCAUAGAGGGUGAGAAUCCCGUCUUUGACACGGACCGCCGGUGCUUUGUGAUGCGCUCUCAAAGAGUCGAGUUGUUUGGGAAUGCAGCUCAAAACGGGUGGUAAAUUCCAUCUAAAGCUAAAUAUUGGCGAAAGACCGAUAGCGAACAAGUACCGUGAGGGAAAGAUGAAAAGCACUUUGGAAAGAGAGUUAAACAGUACGUGAAAUUGUUGAAAGGGAAACGCUUGAAGUCAGUCGCGUCUCUCGGGACUCAGCCUUGCUUUUGCCUGGCGUACUUUCUGGGGUGACGGGCCAGCAUCRAUUUUGACCGUCGGAGAAAGGCCUUGGGAAUGUGGCACCUCCGGGUGUGUUAUAGCCCUGGGUCGCAUGCGACGGUUGGGAUCGAGGACCGCAGCACGCCUUUUUGGCCGGGGUUCGCCCACGUAACGUGCUUAGGAUGCUGGCGUAAUGGCUGUAAGCGACCCGUCUUG
rnacentral:rRNA from 1 species